AAGGAAUAUUGGUCAAUGGGUGCAAGCCUGAACCAGCCAUCCCGCGUGAAGGACGACUGCCCUAUGGGUUGUAAACUUCUUUUGUAUAUGGAUACACCUACCCUCGUGAGGGUAGCUGAAGGUACUAUACGAAUAAGCACCGGCUAACUCCGUGCCAGCAGCCGCGGUAAUACGGAGGGUGCAAGCGUUAUCCGGAUUUAUUGGGUUUAAAGGGUCCGUAGGCGGACUUAUAAGUCAGUGGUGAAAGCCUGUCGCUUAACGAUAGAACUGCCAUUGAUACUGUAAGUCUUGAGUAUAUUUGAGGUAGCUGGAAUAAGUAGUGUAGCGGUGAAAUGCAUAGAUAUUACUUAGAACACCAAUUGCGAAGGCAGGUUACCAAGAUAUAACUGACGCUGAGGGACGAAAGCGUGGGGAGCGAAC
rnacentral:rRNA from 1 species